GCUCUAGUGGCAAAAGUGAUUAGAGCGUUCGCCUCAUAUGCGAGUGGUUGCUGGUUCGAAUCCCGGUCGAGUU